UCCUCUGUAGCUCAGUCGGUAGAACGGCGGACUGGUAAUCCGUAUGUCACUGGUUCGAGUCCAGUCAGAGGAGCCA
rnacentral:tRNA from 1 species